AACGAACGCUGGCGGCAUGCCUAACACAUGCAAGUCGAACGAGACCUUCGGGUCUAGUGGCGCACGGGUGCGUAACGCGUGGGAAUCUGCCCUUGGGUUCGGAACAACAGUUGGAAACGACUGCUAAUACCGGAUGAUGACUUCGGUCCAAAGAUUUACCGCCCAAGGAUGAGCCCGCGUAGGAUUAGCUUGUUGGUGAGGUAAAAGCUCACCAAGGCGACGAUCCUUAGCUGGUCUGAGAGGAUGAUCAGCCACACUGGGACUGAGACACGGCCCAGACUCCUACGGGAGGCAGCAGUGGGGAAUAUUGGACAAUGGGCGAAAGCCUGAUCCAGCAAUGCCGCGUGAGUGAUGAAGGCCUUAGGGUUGUAAAGCUCUUUUACCCGGGAUGAUAAUGACAGUACCGGGAGAAUAAGCCCCGGCUAACUCCGUGCCAGCCGCCGCGGUAAGAC
rnacentral:rRNA from 1 species